GAGAACCCGCCCCCUUUGCCGGAACUAUCGCAUCUUCCAACGGAAAUCUAGUUGCCAAAAGAGGUGGAAAUGCGUCAUUGGCUAGAGAUCCCAUCAGAUCUGGAGCUGCUGGCCUACGCCACAGCCACAGCAACACCAGAUCCAAGCCGUGUCUGCGACCUACACCACAGCUCACAGCAACGCUGGAUCCUUAACCCACUGAGCGAGGCCAGGGACCGACCCCUCGUCCUCAGAGAAUGCUAGUCAGGUUCAUUACCGCUGAGCCAUGACGGGACCUCCUGCAUUUAGAUUUUUAGCGAACAUCUACUUUGCGCCUCACCACAAGUCGGUUGCUGGGGAGAAGCAGAAAGGAGGCGUGGGCUGGGCUAGUAUGCAGGUGGACUCAGCCCACCCCUAGUGAGGCUCCCUGCCUGGACUUCUGGGAGAGGCUUGAAUGAGCCUUGAAGGAGACACCUGACUAUCAAAGGAGGGGGCGAAACAGCAUCCCGAGCCAAGGAAAUGACAUAGUAAAAGCCUCCAAGGUGUUUGGGGUUCAUGACUCCUCGGCACAGUUAAAGCCUGGGGUCCACGGGACAGGACAGUCGGGGGAGAGAUGAAGUGAUGAGGCCAAAACCAGAGCAGCGGCUGACUGCACCUCAGGAGUCUGCGGGGGAAGGACUUUGUGGACGUGGCGAUUAUCUCAACUAUUUGUGGGGCAAUCACAGGAGCAUCUGGGGAGAAAACUGGCCCCAGAAGGAAAAGGGCUGCAGGCGGGAAGACCAGAAAGGAUGCUGUUCAGAUGGCCCAGGUGAAAGCCAGUGAGGGCCUAGACUGAGCAGACGUGGUGGGAUGGAGGGGCCCCAGGAGACAGCUCUGGAUUUGGCAGUUGCGGGGGAGGAGCUAGAACAUUGUGCUUUUACAAGAGUGGGUUAUUUAUCCAAAAACAAACAAAACAAAACAACAGCAACAACAGAGCAUUGCCGCAAGCUGUGGUGUAGGCUGCAGAUGUGGCUCGGAUCCAGCGUGGCUGUGGCUGUGCCGUAAGCCAGCAGCUGCAGCUCCGAUUCGAGCCCAGGAACUUCCAUAUGCCUCAGGUGGGGCCCUAGAAAAGGACAGAAAAAAAAAAA
rnacentral:lncRNA from 1 species